AGCGAGACUAGAGUCACAUCCUGACACUGUCUAUUGUCCUGGUGUGCUAGAGUCCUCGCAGAGCAAGUUUUCUCUGCUUAUUCAUUGGCUGCUGCUUCCCAUUGCUCAGCCAAUCACCAGCUCAGAAACAGAU
ensembl:snoRNA